rnacentral:rRNA from 1 species
GAUGAACGCUGGCGGCGUGCCUAAUACAUGCAAGUCGAGCGAACAGACGAGGAGCUUGCUCCUUUGACGUUAGCGGCGGACGGGUGAGUAACACGUGGAUAACCUACCUAUAAGACUGGGAUAACUUCGGUAAACCGGAGCUAAUACCGGAUAACAUGUUGAACCGCAUGGUUCAACAGUGAAAGACGGUCUUGCUGUCACUUAUAGAUGGAUCCGCGCCGCAUUAGCUAGUUGGUAAGGUAACGGCUUACCAAGGCAACGAUGCGUAGCCGACCUGAGAGGGGGAUCGGCCACACUGGAACUGAGACACGGUCCAGACUCCUACGGGAGGCAGAAGUAGGGAAUCUUCCGCAAUGGGCGAAAGCCUGACGGAGCAACGCCGCGUGAGUGAAGAAGGUCUUCGGAUCGUAAAACUCUGUUAUUAGGGAAGAACAAAUGUGUAAGUAACUAUGCACGUCUUGACGGUACCUAAUCAGAAAGCCACGGCUAACUACGUG